rnacentral:rRNA from 1 species
AUGAACGCUAGCUACAGGCUUAACACAUGCAGGUCGCGGGGCAGCAUGGGGGUUGCUUGCAAUCCCCGAUGGCGACCGGCGCACGGGUGAGUAACGCGUAUCCAACCUGCCCUUCACCACGGGAUAACCCGGCGAAAGUCGGACUAAUACCGUAUGUUGUCCAUUGACGGCAUCCGAUUUGGACGAAAGGCUUGGCGGUGAGGGAUGGGGAUGCGUCCGAUUAGCCAGACGGCGGGGUAACGGCCCACCGUGGCUACGAUCGGUAGGGGUUCUGAGAGGAAGGUCCCCCACACUGGAACUGAGACACGGUCCAGACUCCUACGGGAGGCAGCAGUGAGGAAUAUUGGUCAAUGGGCGUAAGCCUGAACCAGCCAAGUAGCGUGCAGGAGGACGGCCCUAUGGGUGGUAAACUGCUUUUAUGCGGGGAUAAAGUGGCCCACGUGUGGGCUUUUGCAGGUACCGCAUGAAUAAGGACCGGCUAAUUCCGUG